CAGCGUCAGAUGGUUAUAAGAGACAGGUGAGUCAUCGAAUCUUUGAACGCACAUUGCGCCCUUUGGCAUUCCGAAGGGCAUGCCCGUUCGAGCGUCAUUACACCAAUCAAGCCUGGCUUGGUAUUGGGCGUCGGGAGACCCCGCGCCCUCAAUUCAUCGGCUGGACGGUUCGACUCUCAGCGUUGUGGUCAUUCAAUUCGCUGGCGAGGACGACUGGACGCGCCGUUAAAACUCCAUCACAGGUUGACCUCGGAUCGGGUAGGGAUACCCGCUGAACUUAAGCAUAUCAAUAAGCGGAGG
rnacentral:misc_RNA from 1 species